UUACUUUACUGACGUUAUUGAGUCUUUUGGAAAAAAACUUUAAAUAGGGCACACUAAUCACUACUACUGCUAAAAAUACAACCGUGUGUGUAAACAAACUGCAGCCAACUUCACAUAUCCGUUUAGAAUUUUUUCUUCUUUUCACACGUGUCGAUGCAUUUCGUUCAUUUUACAAUCAACUAGCGACAGCAAUGGUUUAUUUAGGAGAAUUACAAAGUUUAAAAAAGAAUUUUACAUCAAAUAUUGUAAUUAACAAAAGUUGAAUGGAGAAAAUGAAGUGAAAAAUAGCUUAAAGAUGUGAUGGGGGAAACACUUGAAAAUUGAGUUAUCAUUGAAGACAAUGAGAGGAAUUUUUCAUUCAGCUGUGGGGAUUUUAAAGAGUUGAAACAGCUUAAAAAUCGUGUUGGAAAGAUGGUUAGACAAAAGCCAAUGGGUUUUAAAUUUGCUGCCGAAAGAAGCUGUUAAACCAUGAAAUCCUUAAAGAAAAUUGGCCUUUUUUAACAAAAGCUAAUUUUCAAAAUAUUGUUAAUCCGGCCAGAGCUGUACCAAUUGCUAGUAAUACGCUUAAAGAUUGAUGUCUGCUUCAAAACCAAUGGAAAUGGCGCAUAUUUAAUAAAGAAAUAAAUGAAAUAGUUUAACAUUUUAAAACAAA